rnacentral:rRNA from 1 species
GGUUAAGCGACUAAGCGUACACGGUGGNNNNNNNNNNNGUCAGAGGCGAUGAAGGACGUGCUAAUCUGCGAUAAGCGUCGGUAAGGUGAUAUGAACCGUUAUAACCGGCGAUUUCCGAAUGGGGAAACCCAGUGUGUUUCGACACACUAUCAUUAACUGAAUCCAUAGGUUAAUGAGGCGAACCGGGGGAACUGAAACAUCUAAGUACCCCGAGGAAAAGAAAUCAACCGAGAUUCCCCCAGUAGCGGCGAGCGAACGGGGAGGAGCCCAGAGCCUGAAUCAGUGUGUGUGUUAGUGGAAGCGUCUGGAAAGGCGCGCGAUACAGGGUGACAGCCCCGUACACAAAAAUGCACAUGCUGUGAGCUCGAUGAGUAGGGCGGGACACGUGGUAUCCUGUCUGAAUAUGGGGGGACCAUCCUCCAAGGCUAAAUACUCCUGACUGACCGAUAGUGAACCAGUACCGUGAGGGAAAGGCGAAAAGAACCCCGGCGAGGGGAGUGAAAAAGAACCUGAAACCGUGUACGUACAAGCAGUGGGAGCACGCUUAGGCGUGUGACUGCGUACCUUUUGUAUAAUGGGUCAGCGACUUAUAUUCUGUAGCAAGGUUAACCGAAUAGGGGAGCCGAAGGGAAACCGAGUCUUAACUGGGCGUUAAGUUGCAGGGUAUAGACCCGAAACCCGGUGAUCUAGCCAUGGGCAGGUUGAAGGUUGGGUAACACUAACUGGAGGACCGAACCGACUAAUGUUGAAAAAUUAGCGGAUGACUUGUGGCUGGGGGUGAAAGGCCAAUCAAACCGGGAGAUAGCUGGUUCUCCCCGAAAGCUAUUUAGGUAGCGCCUCGUGAAUUCAUCUCCGGGGGUAGAGCACUGUUUCGGCAAGGGGGUCAUCCCGACUUACCAACCCGAUGCAAACUGCGAAUACCGGAGAAUGUUAUCACGGGAGACACACGGCGGGUGCUAACGUCCGUCGUGAAGAGGGAAACAACCCAGACCGCCAGCUAAGGUCCCAAAGUCAUGGUUAAGUGGGAAACGAUGUGGGAAGGCCCAGACAGCCAGGAUGUUGGCUUAGAAGCAGCCAUCAUUUAAAGAAAGCGUAAUAGCUCACUGGUCGAGUCGGCCUGCGCGGAAGAUGUAACGGGGCUAAACCAUGCACCGAAGCUGCGGCAGCGACGCUUAUGCGUUGUUGGGUAGGGGAGCGUUCUGUAAGCCUGUGAAGGUGUGCUGUGAGGCAUGCUGGAGGUAUCAGAAGUGCGAAUGCUGACAUAAGUAACGAUAAAGCGGGUGAAAAGCCCGCUCGCCGGAAGACCAAGGGUUCCUGUCCAACGUUAAUCGGGGCAGGGUGAGUCGACCCCUAAGGCGAGGCCGAAAGGCGUAGUCGAUGGGAAACAGGUUAAUAUUCCUGUACUUGGUGUUACUGCGAAGGGGGGACGGAGAAGGCUAUGUUGGCCGGGCGACGGUUGUCCCGGUUUAAGCGUGUAGGCUGGUUUUCCAGGCAAAUCCGGAAAAUCAAGGCUGAGGCGUGAUGACGAGGCACUACGGUGCUGAAGCAACAAAUGCCCUGCUUCCAGGAAAAGCCUCUAAGCAUCAGGUAACAUCAAAUCGUACCCCAAACCGACACAGGUGGUCAGGUAGAGAAUACCAAGGCGCUUGAGAGAACUCGGGUGAAGGAACUAGGCAAAAUGGUGCCGUAACUUCGGGAGAAGGCACGCUGAUAUGUAGGUGAAGCGACUCGCUCGUGGAGCUGAAAUCAGUCGAAGAUACCAGCUGGCUGCAACUGUUUAUUAAAAACACAGCACUGUGCAAACACGAAAGUGGACGUAUACGGUGUGACGCCUGCCCGGUGCCGGAAGGUUAAUUGAUGGGGUUAGCGGUAACGCGAAGCUCUUGAUCGAAGCCCCGGUAAACGGCGGCCGUAACUAUAACGGUCCUAAGGUAGCGAAAUUCCUUGUCGGGUAAGUUCCGACCUGCACGAAUGGCGUAAUGAUGGCCAGGCUGUCUCCACCCGAGACUCAGUGAAAUUGAACUCGCUGUGAAGAUGCAGUGUACCCGCGGCAAGACGGAAAGACCCCGUGAACCUUUACUAUAGCUUGACACUGAACAUUGAGCCUUGAUGUGUAGGAUAGGUGGGAGGNNNNNNNNNNNNNNCGCCAGUCUGCAUGGAGCCGACCUUGAAAUACCACCCUUUAAUGUUUGAUGUUCUAACGUUGACCCGUAAUCCGGGUUGCGGACAGUGUCUGGUGGGUAGUUUGACUGGGGCGGUCUCCUCCUAAAGAGUAACGGAGGAGCACGAAGGUUGGCUAAUCCUGGUCGGACAUCAGGAGGUUAGUGCAAUGGCAUAAGCCAGCUUGACUGCGAGCGUGACGGCGCGAGCAGGUGCGAAAGCAGGUCAUAGUGAUCCGGUGGUUCUGAAUGGAAGGGCCAUCGCUCAACGGAUAAAAGGUACUCCGGGGAUAACAGGCUGAUACCGCCCAAGAGUUCAUAUCGACGGCGGUGUUUGGCACCUCGAUGUCGGCUCAUCACAUCCUGGGGCUGAAGUAGGUCCCAAGGGUAUGGCUGUUCGCCAUUUAAAGUGGUACGCGAGCUGGGUUUAGAACGUCGUGAGACAGUUCGGUCCCUAUCUGCCGUGGGCGCUGGAGAACUGAGGGGGGCUGCUCCUAGUACGAGAGGACCGGAGUGGACGCAUCACUGGUGUUCGGGUUGUCAUGCCAAUGGCACUGCCCGGUAGCUAAAUGCGGAAGAGAUAAGUGCUGAAAGCAUCUAAGCACGAAACUUGCCCCGAGAUGAGUUCUCCCUGACUCCUUGAGAGUCCUGAAGGAACGUUGAAGACGACGACGUUGAUAGGCCGGGUGUGUAAGCGCAGCGAUGCGUUGAGCUAACCGGUACUAAUGAACCGUGAGGCUUAACCUU